rnacentral:rRNA from 1 species
GAGCUAAUACCGGAUAAUAUUUUGAACCGCAUGGUUCAAAAGUGAAAGACGGUCUUGCUGUCACUUAUAGAUGGAUCCGCGCUGCAUUAGCUAGUUGGUAAGGUAACGGCUUACCAAGGCAACGAUGCAUAGCCGACCUGAGAGGGUGAUCGGCCACACUGGAACUGAGACACGGUCCAGACUCCUACGGGAGGCAGCAGUAGGGAAUCUUCCGCAAUGGGCGAAAGCCUGACGGAGCAACGCCGCGUGAGUGAUGAAGGUCUUCGGAUCGUAAAACUCUGUUAUUAGGGAAGAACAUAUGUGUAAGUAACUGUGCACAUCUUGACGGUACCUAAUCAGAAAGCCACGGCUAACUACGUGCCAGCAGCCGCGGUAAUACGUAGGUGGCAAGCGUUAUCCGGAAUUAUUGGGCGUAAAGCGCGCGUAGGCGGUUUUUUAAGUCUGAUGUGAAAGCCCACGGCUCAACCGUGGAGGGUCAUUGGAAACUGGAAAACUUGAGUGCAGAAGAGGAAAGUGGAAUUCCAUGUGUAGCGGUGAAAUGCGCAGAGAUAUGGAGGAACACCAGUGGCGAAGGCGACUUUCUGGUCUGUAACUGACGCUGAUGUGCGAAAGCGUGGGGAUCAAACAGGAUUAGAUACCCUGGUAGUCCACGCCGUAAACGAUGAGUGCUAAGUGUUAGGGGGUUUCCGCCCCUUAGUGCUGCAGCUAACGCAUUAAGCACUCCGCCUGGGGAGUACGACCGCAAGGUUGAAACUCAAAGGAAUUGACGGGGACCCGCACAAGCGGUGGAGCAUGUGGUUUAAUUCGAAGCAACGCGAAGAACCUUACCAAAUCUUGACAUCCUUUGACAACUCUAGAGAUAGAGCCUUCCCCUUCGGGGGACAAAGUGACAGGUGGUGCAUGGUUGUCGUCAGCUCGUGUCGUGAGAUGUUGGGUUAAGUCCCGCAACGAGCGCAACCCUUAAGCUUAGUUGCCAUCAUUAAGUUGGGCACUCUAAGUUGACUGCCGGUGACAAACCGGAGGAAGGUGGGGAUGACGUCAAAUCAUCAUGCCCCUUAUGAUUUGGGCUACACACGUGCUACAAUGGACAAUACAAAGGGCAGCGAAACCGCGAGGUCAAGCAAAUCCCAUAAAGUUGUUCUCAGUUCGGAUUGUAGUCUGCAACUCGACUACAUGAAGCUGGAAUCGCUAGUAAUCGUAGAUCAGCAUGCUACGGUGAAUACGUUCCCGGGUCUUGUACACACCGCCCGUCACACCACGAGAGUUUGUAACACCCGAAGCCGGUGGAGUAACCUUUUAGGAGCUAGCCGUCGAAGGUGGGACAAAUGAUUGGGGUGAAGUCGUAACAAGGUAGCCGUAUCGGAAGGUGCGGCU